GGCAUCCUGCUCCGUGUGCAGCUCGUCCCGGAUCAGCAGCAGCUGCACCAGCUCCUCGUUCAAGCCUGGCACCAAGGAGAGAGGAGAUGCUUUCUGUUUGGCAAUGGAGGUGCCCCCAGCCCCAAGCCUGCAUCAAGGAUUCCACUGGGACUAUCAUGCUGAGCUGAAACUGCACAAGGUUGGAGCCAAGCCUUCAGAUCUGACAGCAUCAGCCACAUGCUGCUGGAAAGCCCUCCCCGGCCGGUGCCGCUGCUUUCCUGAUGACGUCGCCCAUGCCAUCACCCUCCCGACUCAUCUCCUUCGCUCCCAGCGCCUCACGUGGGCAGGGAAGAGCUCCCGUGGGGGCAUCUUAGGCCUUCCUCUGCUCUUCCAGUGCCAUCCGUGGGAUCAAAGGCUUCUUCCCGGAGCCAAGACCUCCAGCAACCUGCUGUCCUCUCGGCUGAUGAGGCUGCUGCAACACCUCCAGCCACUCACUUUCACGACCCCCCCUGCUCUCUGCUUCC